rnacentral:tRNA from 1 species
ACAAUCCAUUAUUAUAGGGAAGGGUAAGGGAGUUGUAAUUUCUUCUGGUUUUGGGAGUAAGAAGCCUUGGGUUAGAGGCCCUAUGGAUAGUU